UAAGGAAUAUUGGACAAUGGGCGGAAGCCUGAUCCAGCCAUCCCGCGUGCAGGAUGACGGCCCUCUGGGUUGUAAACUGCUUUAGACUGGGAAGAAAGUUGUGGUUUUAACUGCAAUUGACGGUACCAUUAGAAUAAGCACCGGCUAACUCCGUGCCAGCAGCCGCGGUAAUACGGAGGGUGCAAGCGUUAUCCGGAAUUACUGGGUUUAAAGGGUGCGUAGGCGGCUAUAUAAGUCAGAGGUGAAAGCC
rnacentral:rRNA from 1 species